rnacentral:rRNA from 1 species
GGGUUGUGAGGUUAAGCGACUAAGCGUACACGGUGGAUGCCCUGGCAGUCAGAGGCGAUGAAGGACGUGCUAAUCUGCGAAAAGCGUCGGUAAGGUGAUAUGAACCGUUAUAACCGGCGAUGUCCGAAUGGGGAAACCCAGUGUGAUUCGUCACACUAUCGUUAACUGAAUACAUAGGUUAACGAGGCGAACCGGGGGAACUGAAACAUCUAAGUACCCCGAGGAAAAGAAAUCAACCGAGAUUCCCCCAGUAGCGGCGAGCGAACGGGGAGCAGCCCAGAGUCUGAAUCAGCUUGUGUGUUAGUGGAACGGUCUGGAAAGUCCGACGGUACAGGGUGAUAGUCCCGUACACCAAAAUGCACAGGCUGUGAACUCGAAGAGUAGGGCGGGACACGUGGUAUCCUGUCUGAAUAUGGGGGGACCAUCCUCCAAGGCUAAAUACUCCUGACUGACCGAUAGUGAACCAGUACCGUGAGGGAAAGGCGAAAAGAACCCCGGCGAGGGGAGUGAAAAAGAACCUGAAACCGUGUACGUACAAGCAGUGGGAGCACCUUCGGGUGUGACUGCGUACCUUUUGUAUAAUGGGUCAGCGACUUAUAUUCUGUAGCAAGGUUAACCGUAUAGGGGAGCCGCAGGGAAACCGAGUCUUAACUGGGCGUUAAGUUGCAGGGUAUAGACCCGAAACCCGGUGAUCUAGCCAUGGGCAGGUUGAAGGUUGGGUAACACUAACUGGAGGACCGAACCGACUAAUGUUGAAAAAUUAGCGGAUGACUUGUGGCUGGGGGUGAAAGGCCAAUCAAACCGGGAGAUAGCUGGUUCUCCCCGAAAGCUAUUUAGGUAGCGCCUCGUGAAUUCAUCUUCGGGGGUAGAGCACUGUUUCGGCUAGGGGGUCAUCCCGACUUACCAACCCGAUGCAAACUACGAAUACCGAAGAAUGUUAUCACGGGAGACACACGGCGGGUGCUAACGUCCGUCGUGAAGAGGGAAACAACCCAGACCGCCAGCUAAGGUCCCAAAGUCAUGGUUAAGUGGGAAACGAUGUGGGAAGGCACAGACAGCCGGGAUGUUGGCUUAGAAGCAGCCAUCAUUUAAAGAAAGCGUAAUAGCUCACUGGUCGAGUCGGCCUGCGCGGAAGAUGUAACGGGGCUAAACCAUGCACCGAAGCUGCGGCAGCGACACUAUGUGUUGUUGGGUAGGGGAGCGUUCUGUAAGCCUGCGAAGGUGUGCUGUGAGGCAUGCUGGAGGUAUCAGAAGUGCGAAUGCUGACAUAAGUAACGAUAAAGCGGGUGAAAAGCCCGCUCGCCGGAAGACCAAGGGUUCCUGUCCAACGUUAAUCGGGGCAGGGUGAGUCGACCCCUAAGGCGAGGCCGAAAGGCGUAGUCGAUGGGAAACAGGUUAAUAUUCCUGUACUUGGUGUUACUGCGAAGGGGGGACGGAGAAGGCUAUGUUAGCCGGGCGACGGUUGUCCCGGUUUAAGCAUGUAGGCUGAUUGUCAGGCAAAUCCGGAUAAUCAAGGCUGAGGUGUGAUGACGAGGCACUACGGUGCUGAAGUAACAAAUGCCCUGCUUCCGGGAAAAGCCUCUAAGCAUCAGGUAACAUCAAAUCGUACCCCAAACCGACACAGGUGGUCAGGUAGAGAAUACCAAGGCGCUUGAGAGAACUCGGGUGGAAGGAACUAGGCAAAAUGGUGCCGUAACUUCGGGAGAAGGCACGCUGGUGUGUAGGUGAAGUCCCUGCGGAUGGAGCUGAGACCAGUCGAAGAUACCAGCUGGCUGCAACUGUUUAUUAAAAACACAGCACUGUGCAAACACGAAAGUGGACGUAUACGGUGUGACGCCUGCCCGGUGCCGGAAGGUUAAUUGAUGGGGUUAUCCGUAAGGAGAAGCUCUUGAUCGAAGCCCCGGUAAACGGCGGCCGUAACUAUAACGGUCCUAAGGUAGCGAAAUUCCUUGUCGGGUAAGUUCCGACCUGCACGAAUGGCGUAAUGAUGGCGGGGCUGUCUCCACCCGAGACUCAGUGAAAUUGAACUCGCUGUGAAGAUGCAGUGUACCCGCGGCAAGACGGAAAGACCCCGUGAACCUUUACUAUAGCUUGACACUGAACAUUGAGCCUUGAUGUGUAGGAUAGGUGGGAGGCUUUGAAGCGUGGACGCCAGUCUGCGUGGAGCCAACCUUGAAAUACCACCCUUUAAUGUUUGAUGUUCUAACGUUGGCCCCUGACCGGGGUUGCGGACAGUGUCUGGUGGGUAGUUUGACUGGGGCGGUCUCCUCCCAAAGCGUAACGGAGGAGCACGAAGGUUAGCUAAUCCUGGUCGGACAUCAGGAGGUUAGUGCAAUGGCAUAAGCUAGCUUGACUGCGAGCGUGACGGCGCGAGCAGGUGCGAAAGCAGGUCAUAGUGAUCCGGUGGUUCUGAAUGGAAGGGCCAUCGCUCAACGGAUAAAAGGUACUCCGGGGAUAACAGGCUGAUACCGCCCAAGAGUUCAUAUCGACGGCGGUGUUUGGCACCUCGAUGUCGGCUCAUCACAUCCUGGGGCUGAAGUAGGUCCCAAGGGUAUGGCUGUUCGCCAUUUAAAGUGGUACGCGAGCUGGGUUUAGAACGUCGUGAGACAGUUCGGUCCCUAUCUGCCGUGGGCGCUGGAGAAUUGAGGGGGGGCUGCUCCUAGUACGAGAGGACCGGAGUGGACGCAUCACUGGUGUUCGGGUUGUCAUGCCAAUGGCACUGCCCGGUAGCUAAAUGCGGAAGAGAUAAGUGCUGAAAGCAUCUAAGCACGAAACUUGCCCCGAGAUGAGUUCUCCCUGAGACUUUAAGUCUCCUGAAGGAACGUUGAAGACGACGACGUUGAUAGGCCGGGUGUGUAAGCGCAGCGAUGCGUUGAGCUAACCGGUACUAAUGAACCGUGAGGCUUAACCUUACAACGCCGAAG